rnacentral:lncRNA from 1 species
GCGCUGGGUCCCAGAAGGGACACUGGGAAGUCCCAGUUCUGGCCUCUGUCUUCCUGCCACCCACGGGCCACCUGGUGGUGGAGUGGUGGGAGCCGCUCACCUGGGCCACCAGCUCUGGCUGGAGAAGGAGCCAAGGCAGGCCGCGUCCCCUCCCCCCGUGCCAGGCCUUAGGACAGCGGCUGGGUGCUUCCCCACCAGGACCCCAUCUGUGAGCCAGGGUGGGGUCUGAGUGACCUGAAGUCAUAGGUGUCACACGUCCCUCCCCUGCUCCGCGGGGCGGCACGCUCAGGAGGCGAUGGCAGUCACACGCAGAGGUGGACGCGCAGCACAGCUCGCUCUCGCUGUGUCUGGAGGAGAAGGGACAAGACAGCAAAAGUGGUGAUGUCGCUGGGCUUUGUGACCUGCCACUCGCUCCCCCCACGGGGUACAGGAGGCAGCUUCUAUUGUACACGCUUCACAGUUGGGGGCUGAGCGCCAUGUCCUGACCUCCCUGGGCCCAGUCCCAGAUCCUUCCCCUGGUCACAGCAGUGACCCCUGACCUUACGCCAGGCCUCGGGCAGCUGUGACCUUCAGGGCUGACCUUUCAACAAGCCAACAGGCGCACGCUCUGCGUCUCCUCUUGGUUGCCACGAUGACGCCUCAUUCCCAUGAUGGGGCUGUUGUCAAGGUGACCGAGGUCCCUCAGGGAUGUCAGCGCUCUGCCCUUUAUUCCAAGGCCGUGUUGCCCGGGCCUCUACAGUGCCCUGAGCUGGAGCCCGUUUCCUCUCACUGACCUUGAACCUGAAUCAGCUCCAGACACCUCCAAACACCAGCUGGAAGGGCUGUGAGCUGCGCAGACCCUGGGCCCAGAAGGUCCUGGGCUGGGCGAGGCCCCAC